ACCUUCUGAGCACCAGAAGAGUGGAUACAUGUACAACAACUCCCUUUGACUGUUUUGUUUUGUUUUGUUUUGUUUUGUUUCAGAUCUCAGGCUGAGAAACCUGUUGUUGCUUCCAGCAAUGUCUCAUCACCUCUGCAAUAACUCAGCAACUCUGUGCACAAUGAGGAAGAGGAAAUUUGGAUGUAUGAAAGGACUCCAGGUAUGCACACAUGGAGGGAAGACAUGUGAAGACCCAGUGAGAAGGCUGGCCAUUUGCAAGCAGAAGCACUCUAUGACUCACCAGGUAAAGAGUCUGCCUGCAACACAGGAGACCCAGGUUCGAUCCCUGGAUUGGGAAGAUCUCCGGAAGAAGGAAAUGACAGCCCACUCCAGUAUUCUUGCCUGGAGAAUUUCAUAGAAAGAGGAGACUGGCAGGUUAGUCCAUGGGGUCACAAAGAGUUGGACAUGACUAAGUCAAGGCUAUGGUUUUUCCAGUAGUCAUGUAUGGAUGUGAGAGUUGGACUGUGAAGAAGGUUGAGCACCAAAGAAUUGAUGCUUUUGAACUGUGGUGUUGGAGAAGACUCUUGAGAGUCCCUUGGACUGCAAGGAGAUCCAACCAGUCCAUUCUGAAGGAGAUCAACCCUGGGAUUUCUUUGGAAGGAAUGAUGCUACAGCUGAAACUCCAGUACUUUGGCACCUCAUAUGAAGAGUUGACUCAUUGGAAAAGACUUUGAUGCUGGGAGGGAUUGGGGGCAGAUGAGAAGGGGACGACAGAGGAUGAGAUGGCUGGAUGGCAUCACAACUCGAUGGAUGGGAGUUGGUGAUGGACAGGGAGGCCUGGCGUGCUGUGAUUCAUGGGGUCGCAAAGAGUCGGACACGACUGAGCAACUGAACUGAACUGAAGCACAUUCCACAUUCAUGUAUACCAACUGAAACCUAGGCACCCUGGAACAGUGUAUUUGCUUUUUCAACAGCCUGUUAGGAACUCAGGUAAAUCUCUCAUAUACUUAAGUUUGAGUUAAUGUGGUAAAAGGACCACCAGUACAAUAAAUAUUGAUAGCCGACAUAAAUACAAAUUUGUUGGGAGUCCUCAGUAAUUUUUAAGAAUUAUAACGUGGUCCUGUUACUGACAUUUGAGAACUGGUGUUUACAGAAAGACAUUCAGGAGAACAAUUAGAUAAGCAUAGCAUGUUUGAAUUGAAAGUAUUAAGGAGGUUGCUGGGGUAGUGAUGUCUCCCUACAGAAAGAGACAAAAUCACUAACUGCUGCUGCUUCAGAGAAAGGGAGGGACAGGAUUUGAAAGACUGAAAAAUUUACUGUGAAUAAAUUUUUAAAGCUGAGCUCUUAGGUAAAUGAUGAGAAUGCUAUGAAUUCAGAGAAUCUUUUUUUUUUUUUUUUUACUUUCUUCUUACACAAUUUUUAAAAUAUUAAGCUUGGCAGGAUUUUUUUGAUCCAGUUACUGAACAUGUAGAGGAUUCUCUUGAAGGAAUACUGGAGACCAACCCAUUUGGAAUACUCUCCUGUUGUUUGUGAGCAAGAAUUUUAACCUGGUGUUAUUAAUUUAAGCAAGUUCUAUUAAUGGGGAAUUCUGUAUAUAUGGUAAAUGUGGAGAAGAUUUUAAAACUUAACUGUAAGUUUCAUUUUUCUUUUGUUGUUGUUGUUUGUUUUAGGGCACUGUUUGUAAGGAUAUCCUAAAAGGAAAAGUUAAAACUAGGGUGGGACAUGAAGUAAAGAGUAAGGUCUCUGUGGGUGUCAUUUUCCCCUCUGAGUGCCUUUGAUUUAGAGUCUUGGGCCCCAGUUACAGUCUGCUGCAACUAUAUGAAUCCUUGUUCUAGAAGACUCCUCGCCUCUGCUUCCUCUGGCCAUCUGGAACGGCCUCUCUGCACCUAAUUGACUCCAUGACUCUUCUUUUCCCAUUUCUGAGCUUCCUGUUUUUUUUUUUUUUCUUUUCUUUCUUAAAUCUCUGAUCUCUCACCUUCUUUCUAAUAAAAUAAUCACAUUCUCUCUUCUCUUUUCAAAUGCGUAGUCAUUCCCUGACUUUAAUGUGGCCAUUUGUAACCUUCUCAACCCUCUUCCUAGUAAUAGCUUGAGAUGUCACUUAUGAAAUACCUUCUCAUCUGAUUCUUAUGGUUUUAUUUGAAUUCAUGGUCACCGAGUUAAACUCAGUAUAAAUGAUGGCAUGAAAAGGUAGCAGUGUUACCAAUUUUUACAACCCAAUGUACAAAGCAUGAAGGGCUAAUCCUACUUUAUAAUCUUAAUGUACUAAACAAUUUAUAAGGCAUAUUUAUCACCAGCUUAUUACUAGUUUAUCACUAGUUAACAAUUUAUCAUUAGUAUUCUUUUUGGAACUCACAACAGCUCUACACAGAAGGCAAAUAUUCCAGUGCUAAUACUAUUUCCUUAUAACAGCAAGUGAAAAAUAUUUCAUAAUGCCUCAGAUUAUAUUUUGCAGAGUUUCUAAGGCUCAGGUUUUCAAAGCCUCACUUUAAUGUUCUUGUCCCUAGUUCAUGACAUUCCCUAGAAACACAGAAAUUGUUUGAAAUAAGAUGGAUAAAAUGAGUCAACCAUUUACUAAGGUGCUAAAAUAUAUUAAUUAAACAAAUAAAAACUCAGUACUUUAAAUUUCUUCCUUUUCAUUACUCUGAUUAGGUCAUUAGCCUGAAUUGGUGAUCAUCUAGUCAUUUUCAGCACCUAAUAAUCCCAAAGGUGAGCCAGAUCUUAAUAGCAGAAAUGCCAAAUGUAUGAGAAUGGGCCAAAGGAAAAUAAAUAAACACAGAAUGGAGAAAUUUAUGUAUGGAAAAAAUUAAAGGAACAUGUGUAUAUAAUUGGCUCAGUAAUAAAUAAUAAGAUGAAAAGAAUGCUAUGAAUAGUUGAAAAGUGAAAAUCCUAUAUCUGAGCUUAAAGUUGGUAGAAAUAAUAAAAUAUAAUUAAGGAAUAAUCCAGUCUAUUUUAGUUGGGAGAAAACAAUGAAAUCACCAAAUAAUGUCCUAGGGGAAACAAUAAAUGUUGUUGCUCAGUCACUUAGUCAUGUCCAACUCUUUGCAACCCCAUGGACUGCAGUAUGCCAGGCUUCCCUAUCCUCCUCUAUCUCUUAGAGUUUAUUCAAGCUCAUGUAAACAUUAUCAUGCAUUUUUAAAAAUAAGCUAUCAAAGAAUUGCAUUUGAAUCAUAAAUAAUUCCCAAAUGUGUACAUCCUUCUGUCAGCUUUCUGGUAAGCAUAUUUGCCUGGUUGACGUCUUUCUCUUGUGAACCCUUGAGACCACAGAAAACCCUGGAUAAGUGCUCUGAUCAUGUUUUCUAAUGAUAAAAUAUGUUAAAGUUAUACAAAUUCAAGAUUUUACUAGUGGACACAGGACGAAAGAUAAGUCACUGUUACCAGUUCAGUUCAGUCACUCAGUUGUGUCCAACUCUUUGCAACCUCAUGAAUCACAGCACACCAGGCCUCCCUGUCCAUCACCAACUCCAAAUAUAAGAAGCUCUCUUCCUUAUCCAUGUAUUCUUGGGGUGUGUAUUGGGAACCAUGUCAUGUCCUAGAAUUAAACAUCACCUGUGGGAUCACUGGGGUAUUCUGAAAAUAUCUGUUGAC
ensembl:lincRNA